GUUUCCGUAGUGUAUUGCUUAUCAUGUUCGCCUUACACGCGAAAGGUCCCUGGUUCGAAACCGGGUGGAAACA
rnacentral:tRNA from 1 species